rnacentral:rRNA from 1 species
CCAAUAGCGUAUAUUAAAGUUGUUGCAGUUAAAAAGCUCGUAGUUGAAUUUCGGGGUCAAUACGUCGGUCGUGCCUCGGUACGUACUAACGUUAUUGAUCCCUCCCUUCUGACGAACCGUGAUGUCAUUAAUUUGGUGUUGCGGGGAAUCAGGACUGUUACCUUGAAAAAAUUAGAGUGUUUAAAGCAGGCAAUCGCUCGAAUACAUUAGCAUGGAAUAAUGAAAUAGGACGUUCGAACCUAUUUUGUUGGUUUCUAGGAUCGACGUAAUGAUUAAUAGGGAUAGUUGGGGGCAUUAGUAUUCAAUUGUCAGAGGUGAAAUUCUUGGAUUUAUUGAGGACUAACUACUGCGAAAGCAUUUGCCAAGGAUGUUUUCAUUAAUCAAGAACGAAAGUUAGGGGAUCGAAGACGAUCAGAUACCGUCGUAGUCUUAACCAUAAACUAUGCCGACUAGGGAUCGGAUGAUGUUAAUUUUAUAAUGACUCAUUCGGCGCCUUACG